rnacentral:rRNA from 1 species
GAUGAACGCUAGCGGCAGGCUUAAUACAUGCAAGUCGAGGGACAGCACAGGUAGCAAUACUGGGUGGUAACCGGCAAACGGGUGCGGAACACGUACACAACCUUCCUUUAAGUGGGGGAUAGCCCAGAGAAAUUUGGAUUAAUACCCCGUAAUAUAGAUGAAUGGCAUCAUUUGAUUAUUAUAGCUACGGCGCUUAAUGAUGGGUGUGCGGCUGAUUAGAUAGUUGGCGGGGUAACGGCCCACCAAGUCUACGAUCAGUAGCUGAUGUGAGAGCAUGAUCAGCCACACGGCAACUGGGACACGGGCCCGACUCCUACGGGAGGCAGCAGUAAGGAAUAUUGGUUAAUGGACGCAAGUCUGAACCAGCCAUGCCGCGUGAAGGAUUAAGGUCCUCUGGAUUGUAAACUUCUUUUAUUUGGGACGAAAAAGGGCCUUUCUAGGUCAACUGACGGUACCAGAUGAAUAAGCACCGGCUAACCCCGUGCCAGCCGCCGCCGUAAAAC